rnacentral:snRNA from 1 species
ACACUACAUAUUUAUUGUGCUGCUAUAAGUCACACUCAAUGUAUUGCUAGCUAAUUUUUGAAAGCACUGGGUGUACAUAGUUAAAAACCAGUGCU